rnacentral:lncRNA from 1 species
ACAGGCUUCGAUCAGCUGGAUAUGGAAAAUAUUAUGGUGAGAACGCAAGUGGUUAUAAUGGACAAUAUAAUCACCAUGGCAUGAUGACUACACCAAAAUAUGGUGGACAUAGUGACGGACAGCAUUUUAAGAUACGCGAUAGGUUACAGCGUGAAGAACAGUUCCACAAUGUGAAAACUGAGUUUUCUGCUCUAUCGAUGGGGGAAAGAGAGAGACCCAGGUCAUUAAGGCUUCCAAGUUCCAGACCAAUAGCCAAUUUACAACCCCGGUUUGUGCAGAACAUGGAUCCUUCAAUACCAUCUACAAAAUGGAUGACUAAACCACAACCUACGAAUGGCAUGCCUAAUAGGAAUCAAGAAGCUGCAUUGGGGCCAACAACUUAUGAUAAGCAGACCAAGAAGGUUUACCAAGUUAAAAUACGUCAGCUAGAUACACCAGAACCUGCGAAGCAAUAGUGGUUGUCGUGGAAUUGGUGGCCAGUUGUUAAGCACAAUUUGCGGCUAGGAAUCAGCACUAACUGUUGCUCUGUUCCAUAGUGUGGAACUAUGUUAUUGUGCUGCUGUAUAUAUAAUCAUGUAUCGUUUAGAGCUUACCAGCUUUGCGUAGCAAUUAGCCUGUAUGUACAUACAUACCAGAUGUGAAUAUAAUUUGAUUUGUUUAAUAGGAAAUGCAGGAUAUUUAUCUGGGAUUGUCAUGCCCAGCAGCAUCUCUGUAUGUUGUAUGAGAAAUAGAAACUGUUACAUGGAGGAAGCUGCUCUAGUGACCUUCUGACAAUUCUGGUCGGCUUUAUUUGAUGAAAUGUUCAAGAUACUGAAAGAGAGGGGUGCUCUUAUC